GUGAUUUUCGCGAUACGGUGUCCUAAACCGUCCUCAACAUACUAAGCCCGUAAUUAUGGAAGGGGAGAUUUGGAGGUACCUGGUCAGGUCUUGGUCAGCCUUCAAAUCCCAGAUGUGGAGACUGCAGGGAUACCUCACAGAGAAGACACUAAAGAGUCAUCUCUCAUUCAUCGAGUGGACUCAUUGGUUUGCGAAUGACCACAAAGAUGCUCCCAUAGGCAGAUUGCUGCAUGGCAUUCACCACUUAUUCAAAUUGAAGAGGUUGAAGCAGUCUUCCUUGUGGUCACUUGCCAUAACAAUGUCAUGUGUUUUAUGAAAACACCAUCAGUAACAUUUAAAUUGAGUUGAUGUGGACGGCUCUUAUUUUGUCCGAUUUUUUCAGUGUUCAGUGCCUGUUUGUGAGAUAUGCAUUGUUUGAAAGAUAAGCCUUUGAUUUUGUUUAAUUUUAAUAUGCCUUUCAUCAACAGUGGUUUGGGGUUUUAUAACAACAAUUAAACUGCUUAACUACUGGUGAACGAUGUUGCAGAACAUAUAUGGUUUGUGUUGAUUGCAUGGAAAAGGGAAUAACCAGUUACAACUUAUAUGGUAAGAGCCUGGUAAUACCAUGAAAACAAACAAGGCUUCCUUUUACAGUACAGUUUCAGCUUAAUUACUGGGUAAAUUGUCGUGUUUUACUUGGUAACGUCGCAGAACGUACAUGGUACAAGUUUGUGUUGACUGCAUGGAAAAGGGAAUAAUGUAUAACAAAUUAUAUGGUAAGAACCUGGUAAUACCAUGGAAACAAACGAGGCUUCCUUUUACAGUACAGUUUCAGCUUAAUUACUCGGUAAAUUGUCGUGUUUAACUUGGUAACAUCGCAGAACGUACAUGGUACAAGUUUGUGUUGAGUGCAUGUAAAAGGGAAUAAUGUAUUACAAAUUAUAUGGUAAGAACCUGGUAAUACCAUGGAAAUAAACGAG
ensembl:lncRNA